rnacentral:ncRNA from 2 species
UUGUUAUCAAGAAAGGUGAAGGGAUUAGACCCGUUGAAACCUUAGCAACCCUCUAUCCAAGUAGAGAAGGUGCUACGUUCUACCCAUAUGUUUGAAGAUUCAUACAGGGGAAAGAUAACCA